ensembl:ncRNA mir-281-2 mir-281-2 stem loop
CGAAUUGUGAAAUGAAGAGAGCUAUCCGUCGACAGUCAAGUUAAGACCGAUUGUAAUACUGUCAUGGAAUUGCUCUCUUUGUAUAACAUUCG